AUUGGCUGACGAGUCUCAAAUAGGACGAAACACGCAUCUUGGAU
rnacentral:hammerhead_ribozyme from 1 species